GAGACAAAUACAAAGUGUGACACACCAUAAUUCAAGAUAGAUGAGACAUUAUUUGACACAUAAAUAAAAUUGGGUUGGGUCAUCACAAUUCAAGCCCAGAUGAAAAGAACCUCCAAAUCACCACCUAGUCAUGAGACAGAGGAUCGAAAUCCCUAGUGUAGUUAUAAUGCCAUGUCCUGCCGCUUGAGAUACUCAUUCAUAGUAACAGCGAUAAAAUAAAAAAUGGACCUAGAUUCGUUAAUCUGAAGGCACUUCUCAGUGAGACGGUGGUUCUUGUUGUCACGUUACAUUCGAAUUCGAUUAUGCUACAAACGCACACCAUCUUUCCUGCUUCUAAGUUGAAUUUGGAUCCAGCAUGUCCAAUUAUCCACCCUACUCCAGAAAAUAUUUUGACCACGAUAACGCUAAGUUUCCUCACCGUUCUUUCUUCAAGGUUAUUACUCGGAGCUUCCUCACCAGUAACCGGAAGCGUGAUUGUAUUAGCUGUAGCACCGGAAAGUUUCUCUUCUUGAUAUUGAUCUUUGGUGUAGCAUACCUUAUGCUGACACAUGAUACAAUUCCAAGUCGUGUAGUUUCUCGAGAUCAAGUAUUUGAAAUUAGAAAGAAUGAAGAAAAUGAGGGAUUACUCUCCGCAGUUGCGCAUGGACAAUAACUUUGGUCUUAAAAAAAUCCACAUUUGUAUAUAUAAUCAUUUAAUCAAAGUUUCACCGCUACAAAGUUUCUGUGUUCCAUUUUUCGCCACGGGAUCUGCCAUGACGGCCAUUUUCUGCUGCCCGUGAUAGACCAGCCACAGACCUGACGGGAAUAUUUUACUACUUUAAAAUUUUAUUUAAAAGGAACCGUUUGAGGAAGCAUCAAUGCAAGAUAGUGGACUUCAAUUUUAACAAAGGUUAUUACUCGGAGUUUCCUCACCAGUAACCGGAAGCGUGAUUGUAUUAGCUGUAGCACCGGAAAGUUUCUCUUCUUGAUAUUGAUCUUUGGUGUAGCAUACCUUAUAUUAUUAGACUAUGCUUUGGCUAGUCCAAAUUGGUCAUUGAGGUGGACAAGUUUACUAUGAUGUGUCGUUGUGAUCUUCCUGCCCGUGAUAUCUUCGCGCCUACUUGAUCCUGUGUUUGUCUACCCAUCAACAAUCCUUGGUAGGGAGAAGGCUAUUGUUGUAAAUCUAGAGCAAAUACGGUGUAUUAUUACAUCAGAUGAAGUUCUUCUGUUGAAUUCCCUUGAUAAAUAUGUAUUACAAUAUCUGAUUGAUCUCCAACGACGGUUGACAACAACUGGCGGAAGCGAGGUGGGCGAGGGCUCUUGAAGUUUCCGUGGAGGCGGCAUGCACAUUUCUUGACACCCAGGUUAGGAGAAGUUCAUGAUUUCAGUUUUAUGUAUAAUAUAGCUUGUGUGGUUUGUUGGUUGAAAAAUUCACUAGGUGUUUCUUACUAUAAUCUAAAGAAAAUUAGAGACGAAAACAUAUAUAAAAAUGUGAACCUGUGCAUUUCCCAGGGAAUUGCUUCUUGCUAUGUUUACUGCGGUGAAGUGUGGGAAACAGUAAUUAACGGUUUGACAAUAGAUUGACAAUAUUUGUUACAUAUUAUGGAACCAAGUUGAUUUUAUGCCAAGUUCAUCAACCAUGGAGGCUAUAUAUACUUACUGUGGCAAAUGAAAAGUUUCGAAGGCAACAGUAUACGCCUUCAUUAAGAAACUUGAGAAAUUGCCAAAAAUUUGAGUAUGAUUAUGGUAUGAAAAAUGUCUUAUGUUAUGGUGUUACGGCGAGUUUGUUAAUUAAAAAUUUUCGUUGCUACUAAAAAAAUCAAGGGUAUUGUUGGUAUUAUGAAAAGUCGACACCAAAACUUUUAUAUUCUCUUUAUACAUAGGUAUAGAUGUCUGAGUAGAUUUUUAUUAUUUGGAGAUUUGCUCAUUUUUGUUGCGUAUUCUCUAGCCUUAAUUUAAAUAAAAGCAUUCAAAUUAGUUUUUGAAAAUAAACCUCUCAAUUCUUCUUGGAAAUUGAGGGAGACAUACCAAACAAUAGCGAGGACGAGAAAUCGAAACUCCCUAACCAAACCUCGCGUGUUCAUUUACUUUUCUUUAUUGCUUUAUCUCGUUAAUAAUUGUGUUGGAAUUGUUGGGUAAAACACGCACGCCAAGUGUUUGUGAAAACGCUUGAGUGCAAUUUUUAAAUUGAAACCUACAACAUUCUGAACACCAAUUAUUCGACUAAAGUUCCAAACUAGUUUUCUUUCACUGUGCUUAGUUGAAAACUAGUUUAUCGAUAUCCAUAUAACGCGAUUAAGCAUUUGUCUAGUUAAUUGAUUAAUUUUAGCUUAAAAAUUAACCACUUAAUCGUUUAGCUUAUCUUUUCAACAACGAUUUCAAAAUUUCUGAUUUACUCGCAUGAUCUUCUUGUUCAAUACGUUUGGGAUAGACGUUUCGAUCUAGAGGCGCAAUAUAUAAUGCAAUGUCAUGUCAACUGAGCUAAGCUCACGGGAUUAACACUUGAUUUUUAUCAUAUAAAAUGAGUUAAUUAUUUAACAACUAAUAUAUAUUUGCAUUUACUAGUAAUUAUUCUUAUUUAACUUUGAAUGGUGUCGGUGGUGGUUGUCAUGUACGAAAAUAAGGAAGCAUAUUGAUUUACGCAAGUAAGGAAUUAGGUUGAUUUAUUCAUACUUCUUUCAUCUCAUCUUCAUCUAAUUUGAAUGGUGAUGAGGCCCAACUUUAUUUAUUUGUCAGGUGUCUCAUUUGUCUUGAACUAUGGUGUGUUAGACUUUGUGUUUUUGUCAAGUUUUUAUCUCAAUAUGUUUUGAGUUUAACGCUUGAUAUCUAUCAUAUAAAAAUAUUUAACUAUUUAACACUAAUAUUUGCAUUUAGAAGUAAUUAAUAUUGACUUUGAUUUGUUCAUACUUUUUUUUCAUCUCUUCUAGCUAAAAUUAUUAUGACGCCCAACUUCAUUUGUAGCAAGUAUCUCAUCUGUCUUGAAUUAUGGUGUGCUAGACUAUGUGUUUGUAUAUCACGUUUUCCCUAAAUCUGUUUAUGAAUAAAAGUAAUAUUAAUUUAUGUCUAAUCUUAGUAAUUUCUUCUCAAUACUUACCCAAAAAAGGAUGUCAAUCGUGGAAAAUCGUUUAUUCAACUAGUGACAGCACAUACUAGCAUACCAAACAAUAGUGUUAACACAGUUGCUGAAACAAAAUCGAUGGUUGCGUUGAAGCAUUAAAUUAAAGUUGAUGGUUAGGUUUAUAGAUGAAACAAAAUUAUAAAUUUUUGUAGUGUGAAAGUUACGAUGAAGCAUCAUGGUUGAUCAUUUUAAAUUAAUCUUAAUUAAUUCAGUAAAACCGACUUUGAAUAGUAUCAAUGGUGGUUGUCAUUUACGCAAACACUGAAUCAAAUUGAUUUAUGCAAACUGGAAAGCAUACUAAUUUACGGAAGCAACAUGUUUUAGUUGCACCAAAUUAACAUGCAUUCACACUUGGAAAUACGGUCAAUAUAUAUGUCAUUCAAAUCGUGAUGUGUGCUAUUUGAAACUGGCAAAAUAUGAAAAUACAAUUAAAGAAUGCACCACAAAAGCAUUGGAACUGAAUCUUGUGUUUGUUAAAGCUUUGGUAACAAGAACACAGGCUCAUGAAAAACUUGAACAUUUUGAAGAGGAAAUUCCUGAUAUGAAAAAGAUCCUAGAAAUUGAUCCCUCAAAUGGUCAAGCUAUGAUAUAGCCACCAACAAUUAGAGCCCCUUGCUAAUGUCAAACGAGAAAAAAAAAUAGGGAAUUAGAUUUAUUUGUUCAUACUUUUUUCAUCUCUUAUGGCUUGAAUAGUUAAGACUUAUGACGCCCAACUUCAUUUGUGUCAAGUGUCUCAUAUGUCUUGAAUUAUGGUGUGUCAUACUUUGUAUGUGUGUGAAGUUUUUCCUAAAUAUGUUUAUGAAAAAGAAUACAAAAUAUUAACAGAUAAUCUUUAGUAAUUUAUUCUCAAUACUUACUCAAAAAAGAAUGUGAAAUGUGACAAACGUUUAUUUAACUAGUGAUAGCUUCAAGGUUGAUGGUUUACAGAUAAAACAAAAUUGAUGGUUACGUUAAAGCAUCAAAGUUGAUGAUUUAUUUUGAUAAAACAAAAUUAUCAAUUUAUGUAGUGUGAAAGUUACUAUGAAGCAUCAAAGUUGAUUGUUUAGAAAUGAUACUAUUUGUUUUAUUUGACACUACCCGCACAUCUCCAACUAUAUAUAGACACCCCCUCCCAUCCCAAAUCAAUCUUCAUAUCAUACAUUAAAACACAAGUUUAGCAACUACAAGAUGAAGAAACUGAUUGCGAUUCCAACAUUUCUAGUUCUAUUGCUCCUCAUUGUAGAGCAGGGGAAUGCUUUUGAUUGCGAAGAAGCCAAGACAUCACUAUUUCCCUGUGGGAUAUUCCUCAUUGGUGCUGAUACAGAACCUUCAACUACUUGUUGCAGUGGUGUAAACAAUCUGAAAUCUUCAACACCCACCGUAGCUGACCGACGUGCUGCCUGUGAAUGCCUUAAAGAAGCGGCUAGUCACUUUCCUAACAUAAGAGAAGACUUGGCUGCCUCACUUCCCCAACUCUGCUGUGUUGACAUAAAUUUUACCAUAAACAAAAAUAUUAAUUGCAAGAACAUUUGUUGAAUUCCAUGGAGAAAAUAGCGUGCUGAACGGGAUGGACGCUUCUACAAAAAUAAUACAGUACAUCCUGUAAUAUACUACUAAUAUGUUCUAUUAUUGUUUAAAAUUUAAAAUUUGAUAUUAAUAAAAAUUAACAAUUACAU